AGCGAACGCUGGCGGCGGGCCUAACACAUGCAGGUCGAACGAACCUUUCGGGGUUUGUGGCGGACGGGUGAGUAACACGUGGGAACGUGCACUUAGGUUCGGAAUAACUCAGGGACACUUAUACUAAUACCGAAUGUGCCCUUCGGGGGAAAGAUUAAUCGCCUUUAGAGCGGCCCGCGUCUGAUUAGCUAGUUGGUUGAGGUAAUGGUUCACCAAGGCGAGGAUCAGUAGUUGGUCUGAGAGAAUGAUCAGACACAUUGGGACGGAGACACGGCCCAAACUCCUACGGGAGGCAGCAGAGGGGAAUCUUGCGCAAUGGGCGAAAGCCUGACGCAGCCAGGACGCGUGAAUGCUGAUGUUCGUAGGAAUGUAAAAUUCUAUCACCGGGGACGAUAAUGACGGUACCCGGAGAAGAAGCCCCGGCUAACUACGUG
rnacentral:rRNA from 1 species